UACGUAGGGGGCUAGCGUCGUCCGGAAUCAUUGGGCGUAAAGCGCGCGUAGGCGGCCCUGUAAGUCCGUUGUGAAAGUCAAAGGCUCAACCUUUGAAAGCCGAUGGAUACUGCAGGGCUAGAGUCCGGAAGAGGCGAGUGGAAUUCCUGGUGUAGCGGUGGAAUGCGCAGAUAUCAGGAGGAACACCAAUAGCGAAGGCAGCUCGCUGGGACGGUACUGACGCUAAGGCGCGAAAGCGUGGGGAGCGAACAGG
rnacentral:rRNA from 1 species